rnacentral:lncRNA from 1 species
CUGAACGACAGAACUUGUGCAGCAACAAGCAUUACAAUGUCAGCGGUGAAGGUUGCCCUCAUCCUUAUGCUCGCACUGACAGCCAUGGUGGAGGGUGGCAACAAACCCAGCCAGGACGGUGGUCCCCCAGGUUGCGUGCAUCGACCAUGCAGCUAUCUAGGUGACCCUUACUGCGGACCAGAGUGUACAUGCAGAAAAGUUGGCAAGGUCUUUACGUGCUUGGCAAUUUAAAACCUACCGCCUCACAAUAUGGCCGUUGUGCAUAGGAAGACCAAAGCAAUAAAGUUUGCUGCCACUC